AAGUUUGUUGUUCACUGCAACAAUAUCAGUAGCUUGUCUUAAAAAUCGCAUGAAGAAAAACGUGUUAACACAUGUGCUGGUACCACUUUAUAUAAUAUUUUUUAUGAGCUUCAAAAAUAAAAUGCGUUCGUAUUCAACAUGUGCCUUGCACGAACUGUGUGUUUGUAUUCAGUGUGUGACUCACACCUCAGUUGGACAAAAAAACUGCACACUGCAGUCAGGGGUACUUGCCACUGUGGGGCUCGAUUUAGGCUACAUGUACCUCAAUUGCCUCCUACCCCUGCUCAUCGACUUGGUUUUGACAGUUUCUUGUCUCUCAUGAGAAGCAACUGUUUGACAACUCCAACACCGGUUGGGCCUCCUGGAUCUGGUGGACCUCCUGGACAGUCUGGAUCUACACCUGGUGGACAUCCCGGACCAACUGGAGAGUUACCUGCAUGUCUGCAGCAUGGAAGCCAGCUGUGUUCUGGUGAAGGAGGUCCGACCGGAUUUCCGUUGUUAAAGCAUGGUUCCGGAGGGGAGUUGGGAAGUGCAACCCAUCUGUUCACUGCGGAGGAACACUUUUUGAUUCACAUGUCGACAUUUCAAAGUACCUUUCAUACAUUGAUACUGUUAAUGCUAAAAUAACUGUAUGUAUUUCAAAUCUGAUCAGUACCCUGAAACGUUAUAUCACAAUCAUGUGUAUUGAAAAUGUAUGUCUUGCAAAACUCACCUUCUACCUUACAAUGGACAGCUCCAUACACUGAGUAUACCGCCAUACACUGAUAUACCAAACAUUAGGAACAACUUCCUAAUAUUGAGUUGCACCCUCCCCUUUUGCCCUCACAACAGCCUCAAUUGGUCGGGGCAUGGACUCGGCAAGGUGUCGAAAGCAUUCAACAGGGAUGCUGGCCCAUGUUGACUCCAAUGCUUCCCACAGUUGUCAAGUUAGCUGAAUGUCCUUUAGGUGGGCCAUUCUUGAUACAUGGGAAAUGGUUGAGUGUUAAAAACCCAGCAGCGUUGCAGUUCUUUACACAAAGAGGUGCGUCUGGCACUUACUACCAUACCUCGUUCAAAGACACUUAAAUAUUUUCUUUCCCAUCCACCCUCUGAAUGGCACACAUACACAAUCCAUGUCUGAAUUGUCUCCAGGCUUUAAAAUCCUUUAACCGGUCUCCCCUUCAUUUACACACAGAUUGAAGUGGAUUUAACAAGUGACAUUAAUAAGGGAUCAUAGCUUUCACCUGGUCAGUGUGUCAUGGAAAGACCAGGUGUUCUUAAUGUUUUGUGUACUCAGUUUAUAUUAUUGAGGUAAAACUCCCUCUUGUCACUCUUUUAUUUUUGAAGUUGAUUCAUGAGUUUAUUUAUGUUGCAUUCGGUUCUGCACAGUUUGUUUUAAUUUCAAUUCAGUUUAUUUGUCUAUUUUAAUACUUUUUGGUUUAUCUUCUCCUGGCAUAAUUUGUAUUUUUUGCAAUUUGA
rnacentral:lncRNA from 1 species